rnacentral:rRNA from 1 species
UACGUAGGUGGCAAGCGUUGUCCGGAUUUAUUGGGUUUAAAGGGUGCGUAGGCGGUCCCAUAAGUCAGUGCUGAAAUAUCCCGGCUUAACCGGGAGGGUGGCAUUGAUACUGUGGGACUUGAGUAAAGUUGAGGUUGGCGGAAUUGACGGUGUAGCGGUGAAAUGCUUAGAUAUCUGGAGGAAUACCGGUGGCGAAGGCGGCAUCCUGGACCGAGAUUGACGCUGAAUGGCGAAAGCUAGGGGAGCAAACGGG